UUGAAAUUCGGAGUUGUGUGCAGGCAAUUUGUUCUUUUGUCUGAGUUUUAAAAGGCUGUACUAAUCUUAUGAUAUCAGUCGAAGAGCUAUUAUGCUUUGCAUAUAAAAAUAUAAUGGUUUCGGAUGCAUUUCAAAGCUUUAAAUUUAUGGUGCAUUUUGAGUAUGAUUGUUGGUGCAUUCACUCUCGAUUGUUUACAUUUGUCAUAGGUAGUGGAUAUUAAAACAGGUACAUUAUGUCAUCUUUAGCCUUGCAUUAACAUACAUCUUUGGAGAAUGAUGAUGCUACAGUCUCUCUGCUAUGCUGACUUGCGCCAAGUGUUUUGAGUAGUGUCUGCUAUGAAAAAUAUAUAUAUUCAUUUUGAAAUAAGGCUGUUGUAAACAUUAAU